rnacentral:rRNA from 1 species
UUCCAGACUCCUACGGGAGGCAGCAGUGGGGAAUAUUGGACAAUGGGGGGAACCCUGAUCCAGCGACGCCGCGUGAGUGAAGAAGUAUUUCGGUAUGUAAAGCUCUAUCAGCAGGGAAGAAAGAAAUGACGGUACCUGACUAAGAAGCCCCGGCUAACUACGUGCCAGCAGCCGCGGUAAUACGUAGGGGGCAAGCGUUAUCCGGAUUUACUGGGUGUAAAGGGAGCGUAGACGGCAGCGCAAGUCUGAAGUGAAAUGCCGGGGCUUAACCCCGGAACUGCUUUGGAAACUGUGCAGCUAGAGUGCAGGAGAGGUAAGUGGAAUUCCUAGUGUAGCGGUGAAAUGCGUAGAUAUUAGGAGGAACACCAGUGGCGAAGGCGGCUUGCUGGACAGUAACUGACGUUGAGGCUCGAAAGCGUGGGGAGCAAACAGGAUUAGAUACCCCAGUAAU